rnacentral:ncRNA from 14 species
CAAACGGCCCUCUUUAGGGCCACAAAUAUCCAAAAUCCCUUAUUU